rnacentral:rRNA from 1 species
GUCCUUAGUUACCAGCACGUUAUGGGUGGGCACUCUAAGGAGACUGCCGGUGACAAACCGGAGGAAGGGUGGGGAUGACGUCAAGUCAUCAUGGCCCUUACGGCCUGGGCUACACACGUGCUACAAUGGUCGGUACAAAGGGUUGCCAAGCCGCGAGGUGGAGCUAAUCCCAUAAAACCGAUCGUAGUCCGGAUCGCAGUCUGCAACUCGACUGCGUGAAGUCGGAAUCGCUAGUAAUCGUGAAUCAGAAUGUCACGGUGAAUACGUUCCCGGGCCUU